AGCUCCAAUAGCGUAUAUUAAAUUUGUUGCAGUUAAAAAGCUCGUAGUUGGAUUUCGGUUCGGCUCGGCCGGUCCGCCGCGAGGCGUGUCACUGGAGGAGCUGAUCUUCCUCGCAGAGACUGCGUGUGCUCUUAGCUGAGUGUGCGUAGGAUUUGCGACGUUUACUUUGAAAAAAUUAGAGUGUUCAAAGCAGGCCACGGCUUGAAUACAUAAGCAUGGAAUAAUGGAAUAGGACGGCGGUUCUAUUUUGUUGGUUUCUGGAACCGACGUAAUGAUUGACAGAGAUAGUUGGGGGCAUUCGUAUUUCGGUGUCAGAGGUGAAAUUCUUGGAUUAUCGAAAGACGAACUACUGCGAAAGCAUUUGCCAAGAGUGUUUUCA
rnacentral:rRNA from 1 species